AUAUAGGAAGCCACGUCAAAAUUCCUAAGUGCAAUAUGUUCUGACACAGUGAAUCUUGAUCUUAUCAAAACAAAAACAAUUAAGAACAAAGAUUGUACAGUUAAUAAGUACUUAAUUGCUCCAAAAGGGAUAGCAGAAAUAUUCACCCACAGGAACUUCCAAUAUAAAAUGCAUCUCCCUUAAUAUCACAGCAAAACUGUUCUUCACUGACAGAAAAUUGGGGACAUAAAUUCCCAUUAAAAGGAAUAACCCAAUAUACAUGUGAUGCUAUUAUGAGAUAUUUCUCAAGACCACUUGGUUCAAAUGCCACACUGAUGGUCGCUAGGAUUUGCCCAUCGAAUGCCAAAUAAAAAUGAGGAAAUAAUUAAAUAUAACAAAAAAGAAGAUGCUGCAAGUUUUGAUUACCCACUCAACCAAAUGAGUUUUCAAGGGAAUAAUAUGUAGAUUUUGGAGUUCCAUGAAGGAAAAGAAGAUGAAGAGAAGGAAAGGAAAGGAGAAUAUUUGCAUAGAGAGAUCGACCUGUGGAAGGAAUGGAAGUCAAU
rnacentral:lncRNA from 1 species